rnacentral:lncRNA from 1 species
UUAUUCAAGUGGUGUUUCAUGUUCCAUUCAUGAGAAAGAUCAUUCAAGUGAAUUAUUUGGAAUUCAAGUUACAACAUUCAUCAAAGAUCUUUAACACUUGUCAUACACUAUUUUUCAAGAUCAUUCAAAUUCUUCUCAUGAGUUAUUCAAGAUUCAAGAAACUAAAUUUCUAUCUAAGUUCUAAUGUCUACAAUUUGGAAUUGUGAAAAAUUUGAUACAACGAGUUGAUUUGCAAAGAAGAAUUCAAGAAACUUCAUUUUACAUCAUCAUUUCUCAUGUUACGAAAAAUUCUCAAGCUUCUAAAUCUAUUUCUAAACCUUCCAUGGCAUUAGCAAGACAAGAAAUAAAGAAGUUGGAUUAGCACACAUCAAUUCCAAGAAAAUUUCUAAAUUAUUAAGUUCAUUCCAAAAAUAUCUCAACAACAAAAUUUGAUUCAAACUCAUUCCAACAUUUCCAACAACAAUAAACUCCAAC